rnacentral:lncRNA from 1 species
ACCAUGUGAUGGUCUCGGACUUGGUGAAGAGGGGCUGGCUUCCUUCCCAGAGAAGAGCCAAAGUUUGUUUCAUCCACACGUGUCCCGGCCUGAAGGUGACUGAGCAGCCAGUGAGCGGAUAUGAGGUCCUCCCCUAUUUCCAUAAAAGAAAUGGUCCAGAUACCUAUUCUUCCUGUAAGACUCUUACACACCUCAUGAAACUCUGCUUUCCCCAUCUGUCAGAACCCUCUGGCCAUAUGGAACUCAAACACAGAACACUUUUCUUUUGGAGCCGUAGCUCUGGUGGACUUGUUGUCUAGGAUGCUCUUGUCCUGAGGCUCCUGGGACUCUGUCUUCAGUAUCAUCCAGCUGCUUUGGAGCAUUGGUGACGUUCAGAAAUGUUUGCGGAGGCUGAGAAGGAGGCUCACUUUGUAAAAUGCUUGCUUGCUGCAUAAACAUGAGGGCAAGAGUUUGAUCCUCCAGAGACUGUGAAAACCCUGGUGUUUGCUUGUCAUCCCAGCACUACAG